CACGUAGGGCGCAAGCGUUGUCCGGAAUUAUUGGGCGUAAAGAGCUCGUAGGCGGUUUGUCGCGUCUGCUGUGAAAACUCGGGGCUUAACCCCGGGCCUGCAGUGGGUACGGGCAGACUAGAGUGCGGUAGGGGAGACUGGAAUUCCUGGUGUAGCGGUGAAAUGCGCAGAUAUCAGGAGGAACACCGGUGGCGAAGGCGGGUCUCUGGGCCAUAACUGACGCUGAGGAGCGAAAGCGUGGGGAGCGAACAGG
rnacentral:rRNA from 1 species